rnacentral:tRNA from 1 species
UGGAGAGAUGUCCGAGUGGUCGAUGGUGCAGUCUUGGAAAGGCUGUGUGCGGCAACGCACCGGGGGUUCGAAUCCCCCUUUCUCCGU